UGGAAAUAGGGUCACUGCAGAUGUGGAUAGUUAAGAUGAGGUCAUAAUGGAGUAUGUGAGACCUUAAUCCAAAAGGACUGGUGUCUUGACAAGAAGAGGAGAAGAAACACAGACACACACCAUGUGAAUGCCAUGUGAGGAUGGAAGCAGAGAUCGAGGUAUGAGGUUAUAAGCCAAGGAAUGCCAAGAACUGCUAAAAACCACCAGAAGUGGGAUAAGCAAGGAAAAAUUCUCCUAACAGGUGUUGGAGGAAACAUGGCCCUGCCAACACCUUGAUUUUAAAUCUCUAGCCUCUGGAACUGUGAGGAAAUAAAUUUCUGUGGUUUCAAGGCACCCACUUUGUGGCACCUAGAAAAUGAAUAUAGACAUACAAGAGUUAAAUGGUGUAAAGUCCCUUAAUUUUGAACAAUCAAUUGAAUAACUGUUUCCAUCAAUGUGGUGGUGAGUACAGAAAGAUUCAGUGUUGAAAAGGUAUCAGAGAACCUGUUGCAUCUUUCUUGAAGGCCCUGUGGAGGAGGUAUGAUUGUGGGAUCUGUGAGAAAAGAGAAAAGUGGUAGAAAGAAGAUGGUUUCACAAGGCGUUGGUGUUUGCAGCCCUUGGCCUACAAUCCUCCCACGUGUGUCUGCAACCUCUCUCCUAUCAGAGUGGAUCUCCAGGUUCUUUGAGGAUCAUCCCUGUAACUUCUAUAGUAGCCACCGCCCCCAGUUCCCUACAAUACCUGCUAUGGGACUGUUGACUAAAGACGCCUCGGUAUGUGACCGGCUGUCACUUCCAACAAAAUCUUUGAAGAUGAUAACAGCUCACCCGAGACGAGGACAGCAGUGUAUAAAGAGGCAGACGCCAGACAAGAGACUUUUUUCUUGUGACAGUUUGAGCUCCCCUGCUGCAAUUAACUUUUUCUCCCCCUCCUUCUCCUCCUUCAUCUCAUGCAAUGCGGUUCAGAAAAAGGGGGCCUGUAUUUUCCUCCUGCUGAUGGAAGUUGAUUAGCAGUCAGGUGGAGUGAUGCUCAGGGGACAACACAGCGGAUUAAUUAAAUCACUUCUACUGGCUAAGUGGUGACACUUUGAUUUAUAGCAGAACUCACUCAACCAGACAGCAGCUUUUCUUGCAUGCCGAAGGAGGAAGGGCCAAAGUGGCCACUGGUUGGAGGCCGAGGGCUUUGCAAACUUUAAAGACAAGCGUCCUAGUCAUUAAAGCAGAGGCCCCUGCUGGGCUCCUCUCUUUGGGGCGGGGAGGCCUGCAGGCUCAGGAGAGGAACCAGAGAGAAGGGAGCAGCUGAGGCUGGCCUGCAAGCUGCUGAGGAGCAAGAAGACCCGUUUCAGAACACACAGAACUCUAUUACACCCCUACAGAAAAAGCAACCUCGAAACGGCAGGAUCAUCUCUAUGUCUGUUGGGUGUUUUGUUUUGUUUUGUUUUGAAGUAAUAUCUAUGCCCAACGUGGGGCUCAAACUCACGACCCCGAGAUCAAGAGUCGCAGGCUCCAUCAACUGAGCCAGCCAGGAGUCCCUCUAGGUCUGUUUUUACUGGACUGCUCGUCGGUAUUGCAUCUUGGCUCACCCGCAGGAAAUAGCCCCGUGAUGGUCCUACCAUAGGGACUCCGGGAUAUCUGUGACUCUUCCAUUGCCGCCUGGAGUCUUCUCAAUGAGGAGCCCUCAGACCAAAAUGCACGCGACAGCUGUGCUUCUGGUGCCAUGUUUUCUGUUAUGAGGUGGCUAUAAUCCUAUUUCGCUCUUUGCUUUGGCUACUAAGAAGGCCAGAGCUGAACAUGCAGCCCAAACUGCAAGCCCUCACACAUGCUCUGUGUAUGAACUCUUUAUGGAUCCAUCUCGCCCAACUUCCCUUUCCCUAGAAAACUCCUGUUUCUCUUAUCUUAAAA
rnacentral:lncRNA from 1 species